UAGGGAAUCUUCCGCAAUGGGCGAAAGCCUGACGGAGCAACGCCGCGUGAGUGAUGAAGGUCUUCGGAUCGUAAAACUCUGUUAUUAGGGAAGAACAAAUGUGUAAGUAACUAUGCACGUCUUGACGGUACCUAAUCAGAAAGCCACGGCUAACUACGUGCCAGCAGCCGCGGUAAUACGUAGGUGGCAAGCGUUAUCCGGCAUUAUUGGGCGUAAAGCGCGCGUAGGCGGUUUUUUAAGUCUGAUGUGAAAGCCCACGGCUCAACCGUGGAGGGUCAUUGGAAACUGGAAAACUUUAGUGCAGAAGAGGAAAGUGGAAUUCCAUGUGUAGCGGUGAAAUGCGCAGAGAUAUGGAGGAAAACCAGUGGCGAAGGCGACUUUCUGGUCUGUAACUGACGCUGAUGUGCGAAAGCGUGGGGAUCAAACAGG
rnacentral:rRNA from 1 species